AUUGAACGCUGGCGGUAUGCCUUACACAUGCAAGUCGAACGGUAGAGGGGCAACCCUCGAGAGUGGCGAACGGGUGAGUAAUACAUCGGAACGUGCCCAGUCGUGGGGGAUAACGUAGCGAAAGCUACGCUAAUACCGCAUACGACCCGAGGGUGAAAGCGGGGGACCUGCAAGGGCCUCGCGCGAUUGGAGCGGCCGAUGGCAGAUUAGGUAGUUGGUGGGGUAAAGGCCCACCAAGCCUGCGAUCUGUAGCUGGUCUGAGAGGACGACCAGCCACACUGGGACUGGGACACGGCCCAGACUCCUACGGGAGGCAGCAGUGGGGAAUUUUGGACAAUGGGCGAAGGCCUGAUCCAGCCAUACCGCGUGCGGGAAGAAGGCCUUCGGGUUGUAAACCGCUUUUGUCAGGGAAGAAAUCUUCCGGGUUAAUACCUCGGGGGGAUGACGGUACCUAAAGAAUAAGCACCGGCUAACUACGUGCCAGCAGCCGCGGUAAUAC
rnacentral:rRNA from 1 species